UGUUCCUAGAGGUGUCUUGCAAUGGCGGCAGGGCGAGGCCUAAUAUCGUUGUGUGUCUGUAGCUGAGGGCACCUCCUUACCUAGUUGUAGUCGCUUGGUGAGGACGGUCGUGUGUGUGUGUGUGUGUGUGUGUGUGUGUCUGUGUGUGUGUCCCUCCUUUCUGGAGGUUGUACCCCCGAUGUCUUCUUCCUGUUCAAUGCAAUGAAA
rnacentral:lncRNA from 1 species